rnacentral:rRNA from 1 species
GACGAACGCUGGCGGCGUGCCUAAUACAUGCAAGUAGAGCGCACAGUUUAUACCGUAGCUUGCUACACCAUAGACUGUGAGUUGCGAACGGGUGAGUAACGCGUAGGUAACCUGCCUGGUAGCGGGGGAUAACUAUUGGAAACGAUAGCUAAUACCGCAUAAUAUUGAUUAUUGCAUGAUAAUUGAUUGAAAGAUGCUAUUGCAUCACUACCAGAUGGACCUGCGUUGUAUUAGCUAGUAGGUGAGGUAACGGCUCACCUAGGCGACGAUACAUAGCCGACCUGAGAGGGUGAUCGGCCACACUGGGACUGAGACACGGCCCAGACUCCUACGGGAGGCAGCAGUAGGGAAUCUUCGGCAAUGGACGAAAGUCUGACCGAGCAACGCCGCGUGAGUGAAGAAGGUUUUCGGAUCGUAAAGCUCUGUUGUAAGAGAAGAACGGGUGUGAGAGUGGAAAGUUCACACUGUGACGGUAUCUUACCAGAAAGGGACGGCUAACUACGUG